CUUAGUAGCGGCGAGCGAACAGGAAAAAGCCCAGCACUGAAUCCCGUGGUGAUUGCCACUGGGAGUUGUAGUGUUCGGGAGGAUCCAAUUAUCCCGUGGCGUAUUCUCGUGUUCAAGUCCAUCUUGAAUGGGGCCAAUUACCCAUAGAGGGUGCCAGGCCCGUAGCGAUCGAGACGCGCCUCGGGAGGAUCUCUCCUUAGAGUCGGGUUGCUUGAGAGUGCAGCUCUAAGUGGGUGGUAAACUCCAUCUAAGGCUAAAUAUAACCACGAGACCGAUAGCGAACAAGUACCGCGAGGGAAAGUUGAAAAGAACUUUGAAGAGAGAGUUCAAGAGUACGUGAAACCGUUCAGGGGUAAACCUGAGAAACCCAAAAGAUCGAAAGGCGAGAUUCAUCGUCAGCGUAUUUCAUAUAUGUGCAAAUUGGUGAUGCAAUGUAUUCUCUUUAUGGGAAUAAUUUUUGUACACUUUUGUAUCAUUUAAUUGCUGAAUAUCGUCGGCGUGCACUUCUCGUCUAGUAGAACGUUGCGACCCGUUGGGUGUUGAUCUACGACCCAUUUGGUAGCCUUUAAUGUCAUCUUAUAGGUGUUACAUUGAAGACCAUUGGUGUUUUCCGAUUGACUGCCCGGCGGUAUGACAAUAUGAUAUUGAGUCGCUUUUGAAUGCGUCAAAUCUACGUUGCAAUUUUAAUAAGUGGCUAAGUAUUUUACGGACCUAGUGCCGUUGCUUAACAUUGUUAUAUUUGUUGUAGAAUUAUUUGACUGGCUCAUUGAAUAUAUAAAAUAUCGGUCA
rnacentral:rRNA from 1 species